rnacentral:tRNA from 1 species
GCCGACGUAGCUCAGUAGGUAGAGCGCGUCCUUGGUAAGGACGAGGUCACCGGUUCAAUCCCGGUCGUCGGCU